rnacentral:rRNA from 1 species
GACAGAGGGGGCAAGCGUUGCUCGGAAUUACUGGGCGUAAAGGGCGCGUAGGCGGGAUGGCAAGUCGGUCGUGAAAUCCCUCGGCUCAACUGAGGAUCGUCGAUCGAUACUGCCGUUCUUGAGGAUUGCAGAGGAGACUGGAAUUCCCGGUGUAGCGGUGAAAUGUGUAGAGAUCGGGAGGAACACCUGUGGCGAAAGCGGCGCACUGGACCACAUCUGACGCUGAGGCGCGAAAGCUAGGGGAGCAAACAGG